rnacentral:rRNA from 1 species
CCUACGGGGGGCAGCAGUGAGGAAUAUUGGUCAAUGGGCGUAAGCCUGAACCAGCCAAGUCGCGUGAGGGAUGAAGGUUCUAUGGAUCGUAAACCUCUUUUAUAAGGGAAUAAAGUGUGGGACGUGUCCUGUUUUGUAUGUACCUUAUGAAUAAGGAUCGGCUAACUCCGUGCCAGCAGCCGCGGUAAUACGGAGGAUCCGAGCGUUAUCCGGAUUUAUUGGGUUUAAAGGGUGCGUAGGCGGACUUAUAAGUCAGCGGUGAAAGUCUGUGGCUCAACCAUAGAAUUGCCGUUGAAACUGGGAGGCUUGAGUAUGUUAGAGGCAGGCGGAAUGCGUGGUGUAGCGGGGAAAUGCUUAGAUAUCAGGAAGAACCCCGAUUGCGAAGGCAGCCUGCCAGGCCAUGACUGACGCUGAUGCGCGAAAGCGUGGGGAUCAAACAGGAUUAGAUACCCUGGUAGUC